ACGGGUGAGUAAUGUCUGGGGAUCUGCCCGAUAGAGGGGGAUAACCACUGGAAACGGUGGCUAAUACCGCAUAACGUCGCAAGACCAAAGAGGGGGACCUUCGGGCCUCUCACUAUCGGAUGAACCCAGAUGGGAUUAGCUAGUAGGCGGGGUAACGGCCCACCUAGGCGACGAUCCCUAGCUGGUCUGAGAGGAUGACCAGCCACACUGGAACUGAGACACGGUCCAGACUCCUACGGGAGGCAGCAGUGGGGAAUAUUGCACAAUGGGCGCAAGCCUGAUGCAGCCAUGCCGCGUGUAUGAAGAAGGCCUUCGGGUUGUAAAGUACUUUCAGCGGGGAGGAAGGCAGUGAGGUUAAUAACCUUACUGAUUGACGUUACCCGCAGAGGAAGCACCGGCUAACUCCGUGCCAGCAGCCGCGGUAAUACGGAGGGUGCAAGCGUUAAUCGGAAUUACUGGGCGUAAAGCGCACGCAGGCGGUCUGUUAAGUCAGAUGUGAAAUCCCCGGGCUUAACCUGGGAACUGCAUUUGAAACUGGCAGGCUUGAGUCUCGUAGAGGGGGGUAGAAUUCCAGGUGU
rnacentral:rRNA from 1 species